AUUUUUGUGCAAGAAAGCAGAAAACAAGUAUGGGGGAGAUCCCUCGACAUGCCAAACACACUCCGACUACACCACUCCACGAUUCAGGUACACACUCUGCACACUUUACUUCAUACAUACAUUUAUUUUGGAUUAUGCAGAUUACUGUUUCCGACAUGAUAAAAUAAAAAGAUUAAAAUAUUUCUAAUCAUGAUUAAUCUCAAUCUGUGAUAUUUCCUGAAAACUUGCAAUUAUUAUAAAAUCAUUUUAAAACCCUGUGUUACUCAAGUCAAUAUGGAAUAUGUGAUGGUAGAGUAUGAGUUUCUUAUUCUUGAUAUCAUUGUUGCUUGGAGAAUUUAUUUCAAAAUAUUCAAAUUUCUAGCUACCAUCCUCAGUGUUUUAUAUGCCUGAUAAGACUGAAAAUAUUAAUUAUGAUUAUAAAAGCUAUCUGCUCUGUAUUGAGUUUGUUCAAAAUGAGUUAGACCCUUGUUGAGAGAUUUAUCAUGCUCCCAAGAUCAAGACAUUAUUUCAGUAAGAUUCACUCUUCCGAAGUAUUAUUGCAUUAGAGGCAUGGGCUAUGCAAAAAUAGAAAUAUUUCGAGGAAAUAAAAAGGAGCAAGUGCUCGACAACCUCGCAGAAAAAAUGGACAAGUGUCCGC
rnacentral:lncRNA from 1 species